rnacentral:lncRNA from 1 species
UGAAAUUUGAGAAAAUACAAAAGCUGUAUUUUACUGUUUCAUAGACAUUUGGAGAGAGCUGAGUGAUAGAAAAAUCUGAAAAUCAAAAUAGCAAAAAAUUGAUAAAAAGCUACUGUUUCAUUGAAAUUCUAGUGAUUUUGUGUUGCUUUUCAAACACCUGAAAGCAUUAGAUCCUCAUUAUGGGAUUUGAAAUGGUAUUAUUUUGGAUGUUCUAGAAAAGGUUUUGGUUUGAAGUUUUGUUAUAAUUACUGCUUCAUCAGAUUCUUUUUGUGAUAUCCUCAAUUUCUGAUUCAUGAAAUAGUUUUUGAGCUAUCUGGGUUGAGAUGAUUUGAGCUUGGUUUUGUAAAAGCUAAGUUUGAAGCUUUGGUUGUGGAUUUUUGACGGUUGAGCAUCAAUUUUGGUUUAAAGCUGUUUUGUGGUUUAUUUCUGCUGUUGGAUACUGUUGUUGCUACUGCUGAACUUGCUUCCAUUUUUGCUUUUAUUUCCAGGUAUUUCAUUUGGAAUUUUGAAUGGAAUUGAUGCUUGUUUAAGGUUGUUAUGUGAGGAUGUAAAUUCCAGUUGAAAUAAAGUAGUCUUGUUCUGCAGAUUCACUAGUUUCCUCCUUUAAAUUGUUUGCAUUCUGUUUUGGCUGCUUCCUAGACAAGUCUUACUAUUUGAUUCUCAUUUAUAACCAAUCAAAUAACUGGUCCUACACUUGCAUUCUAGGAAUUAAUAUUUGAAUGCUUUCAAUUCAGCAGUACCAGAUGUUAGAUAUAUGCAUUAACUAAGUAGGCAUUAACUGAAAGAUUCCCUUGCUUGAUUCGAGUUUGUCAGUUUUGUUUUGGAGGCAUUGGAGAAUUGUAUGUGUG